rnacentral:lncRNA from 1 species
CUCGUACCAAGUUUACAAUGAAACAUAAUUUCUACAUUACAAGACUAUUUCAGAAAAUUAGUAAUCUGAGAUACAAGUAAAUAAAUAAAACAAUCGUAUGACUAUACCUUGUUCAUUCAUAAGUUGGGAAGAGUCGAUAAUUCAAUUGGGAUCGUAGGGGGCAGUGUUUGAGGUACUGUUGAUAUUCUCUGUUUAUGGGAUGUAAUUGAGCAGGCAAUCACUCAACUUUGGAGUGAUUAUUCUGCAGAAAUCUGUCUUCGGAGUUAUUUNUUUUUGUUUUCAUAAAAUGUUACUCAUGCUCACAACAAUCAAGUCACAAGUACAAUUUUUUUUUAAUAAAACUUGUACCGUGGCAACAUGUAAGUGGAUUAUUUUUUUCUUUUUUUUCAUCUUCCAAUGAUGUCGCGCCAUGUGUCAUAUGUAAGAUUUUUGUCGAAAAAUUCUGUACUUAUAGCCCUUGUUUGAGCCCAAUUUUGAGAGAAGAAUGAAUUUUUAAAUAGUGUAUUGAUGAAAAAUGUGUAGUUAAAAAAUAAGAAAUUUUUUGAAUUUACGUAUAAUAUUAUUUUAUUAAAAAUGUGUGAUUAAAAUGAUGUUAAAAUAUUAUUAAAAAAUACAUUUUUUUCGAGAGAAUGGGGGCUCAUGAUUUGCUCACAAACAUAGUCAAGUCAAAUGAUGCAAUUUUCCGUUGGGUGUCGUUUUAAAAUUGACUGACUCUCAUCAAUUGCGGCGUGGAGUUAUUGACUGGUAAAUGGUUCGGACCGUAACCUAUGCACCCAUUGACUAAAUGAAUGCAUGUAUUGACAUCCAGUCAAACUUACGACCAUCGUUAGGAACUAACUUUUCAAAAUUUUGAACGUGGAAAAUGUUGUGAUCCGUCGAUUCUCUGCACUUUUAUCAUUUUAUUUUUGAUAUUAUGUGGUUCAAAUAAUGAAUUGGGACGAUCAAUAGAGAGAGGAUGACCCUCCCUCUGUUGGACAGUGCCUGUCAUGAUAUGGUGACUGACGUUGUGUCAGUUCGAUCGACGCUACAUUCGCUUGCUCAUAAGGUACAGACAGAUUUGGCAUAUCAGGUGACGCUCGUCAUAUCAGAGUGCUAAUUGCUAUGCUAGCCUGACUCUCAUCGCGAGCGGACCAAUCGUUGUUAUUCGGAUUACCUGAACUACAUUGGAGCCGGUCGAUAACCAUUUCGACAGUUAUCAUCAAAUCCACUGCUUGGGUAACCGCUAAACAAAUAAAAAAUUGUCUGAGGAGUGGGCAGAUCUCAUGAGGACACGUGGAUGACAACUGCCCGGCGAUUACGUGAUGCUAGACUUAUGAGGACACGUGGAUGGCAACUGACCAGUGGUUACAUGAUGUCAGACGCAUAUAAAUACCCCAUAGGCAUGUUAGGAAAAGGGGGAUCUUUGAUUUCAAAAAAAUAUUUUUCUCUGUCACUGUUGCAACUCUUUGAAAUCCUUUAUACAAAAACAAUUACUGAUUCUCACGCCGAAGGUAAAACGGGGGAGAAAGCCCCAGUCUCUUUUUUACAAGAUCACAAGAGGACGAGACAACUUUUUCUCUCAAAAAGACACGAAGUUACAUAAUAACUAUUUCAAUUUUGAUCAAAUUUUAUUAAUGGUUAGUAAAAGACGCACGAGAGUUGGCAUCUUGGAUGAGAAUUAAUCAAUUUACAAGUCAUAAUUGAUAAUGUAUGAAUUGUUAAAAAUAAAUAAAUUAUUAGAUGAAAAAACAAGUUAUUUUUCAAAUUGUUUAAUGACAGUUUGUCACGUGACAUGUUGUCAAUAAGGUUAUCAUCAUUGAUUAUAUACCAAGCAUGAUUCCUUAGACAAUAGAUAUUUCAUUCCUUCUAAAAAGAUUAGAAUAUUUGAACAUUAAUCUUUCAAUAAUUUGAAAUCUUGAUAUUUUGAUUUGUACGUCGUAGAAGAUGCAGCAGUGCAAUUUAUUGUAGCUAAAAUUAAAUUGUACUAUAAAAUGAGUUUAAAACUAUAUCAAACUAUUCGUUUAAUAAAAAUAUGCUUGUUUUUAUUUUUCACAUAUAUUAAGAAAAUGUAAUUAUUUUAGUUUAAAAUAUAAAAUUUUCUUAUAUUUUUCUUAAUAUACCUCUACAUUAAAUAAUUAUUUAAAUAUGAUUAAUUUAUAUUUAUUGAUAACAAAGUACAUUAAAAAAGGGCUCAUUAGAAAAUGAAAAAAAUAUCUUUACUUACAAUAGGAAAAUUGACUUAUAAUUUGGGACAAAUUAGAAAAGAAACCAAAUUUAUCUUUACAGGAUGAAUGUAGUAAAAAAUGGUACGUGGGGAUUGUCAUGUAGAGCUACGCAUUGCCCUAAAUGAAGAAUAAAGGAAGUUGCCCUUCAUGGGGUGGUCGAGUUAGUGGAGUAGGUGAGUGCGGAGGCUUUGGUUACGAGUUCGAUUCCCUCUACCAACACUUUCUUAGUCGAGUUUGUCGUAUUGGGCUUGUCUAGUGCGGUUUACCUAGUUGGCGUUACUCAGUGCGCAUCCGAAGGGUAACGGCUGCGGAUUCUCCAAUUUAAAAAAAAAAAAAAAAAAAAAAAGGAGGAAUGAAGGAAGUUUCUUGGCUGGUUCAUUGUGGAGUAAGCAAAUUUUUUAUUCGCUUUGGAAUAAAUAUUUUUAUCCAAAAAUAAUAAUCUAAUUAAAAGAUACAAUUUUAAAUAAGUGAAAAAGUUAUAAACGUAUGCGUGAAAGCUACAAUAAUUGUCAGAGAAAGACAAAUCGGACGUUGGAAUUUUAAAUUGACUAUAAUAUUUGUAUUCCAAGAAGACGAAAAGGGCAAAGGAGAUGGAUAAUAUAAUUAAUAUUAGUGUUGUCACAUUGACGAGAGACGAUAUUGAGUCGCUGUUUUAUAUUGCUUUAAAAAUAAAAUUUUAGUAAAUUUGAUAAGUUGAUGAAAUGAAUGGUUAAAAAGUUGAUAAAGUUGUUGGUCCCAUUAAAUAUGUGAUUAAAAUUAAAUAUUGAUUUUUAUUUAAAAUUUUCACAUUUAGAAAGAGUGGACAAUUAGUUAGAAUAACAGGUGCUGUUACGAAACUGAUUGCAAAAGAGGAGGAAUCGAUCAUAACUAUAUUACAUUCUGGAUUGGUCCGUUUUCACUUUCUUAACUAAAUCAAACAGGUUAAGUUGCAAUAUUAUUUAUGCUUAGGCAUGCUCAGUGUAAUAUGAAUUAGAAUUUAGAUUGGUAAAGUAAAUUUAGGGUUUGUUUGAUUGUAAAGGUAGAAAAGACAAGCUGGUUUCAUGUUAGUUGAAAAAGAAAAAAAAUAUAUCAAGACCAUCGGAAUUCGAUUUCCACUCAGGUGGCUAAAAACUUGCUUUAAGUGUUUGUACUUUGAAAUUCAAACUUAAUUUUUACUUUCGUAUCAAAUAGUUAAAGUAGAAAACUAAUUUUUUGAAUGUGACAUUUUUUCAUGAAAUUUAAUGUUAUCAAACGGACCCCUAGUGAAAUGAAGGUCUUACAAAUGUAAAAGUUCAUCAUAUUUAAAAUAUCACAGUCUAUUUUGAUUUAGAUAACUGUGUUAGAAUCUAUUGAUAAUCGAAAGGUGAGAGAAAACUCCCAUUUGUUUGCACUCCAACUAUUAAGUUGACAUAAAAAUAUAAAAACAGUAAAUAUGUUUUUAAUUUUCCAACCUCUUUUUGAAAGGAAUGAUGCUUGUAUAAAAUGCCUUUAUUCGUUCACGUGUUCUCCAUUCUAUCGUGUAUGGAUAGAAAUGUACGCAUUAUGUAUAUAUAUCCUCGAAGGGAAAUAUAGGAACUAAUAGAUUCCAAGAGAUGACCAAAUAGGACAUAAUCGGUUAGAUAAAGUACUAAUGCUUGAAUGUCAUCUCCUUCGAAAUCACUUAACUCGUAUCAAAAUAUUUAAGUCAUGUUGAAUCGAUGCUUCCCUUUAUGAUGACGAAGGAGAAUAGUCAAGGAGAUCGAUCCUUUAAGCCAGACUACGUAAGUACUUAUUGUAACAUGGAUUAACUUUCAUUUUCUAUUACGUCUGCAAUAUUUUUAGAAUUUUAGUUUAACAGUCAGCCUCUCAAGAUCCAUGUACGAACUCAAUUUAUUAUUUUGAUAUAAAUACGUCAAGUAGUCAGAUUAUAAAAUUAAUUCUUAACUUCCAACAAAAACCCUCGUUAUAAGGAUGUUUUAUUUAAAGGAGAAAUCUCGAUAAUUAAGUAAAACUGAUUAUUUCUUAGUCAUGACGUCUUUCCCUUCUACUAGAAACAGAAAUCUUGUAUCACAAUUUGGUGGAAAUAAUUGGACAAUUCGAUUUCUUUUAUAUUGUUCUUGUUUAUGAUUGUUUCGCUAUUCUUCUUAUUCCGAUUUUUAUAUUACUAGUCAUUCCUUCCAAUUUACGUAUUUGUAAAAAUUAUAAAUAAAUAGCAUUUUUCAAAGACUUGGAAAUUUUUCCAAAGAAAGUGGCAACACCUUGAGAGGUGUACCUUGAAAACGACCUCCAUAAUAAUAUAAUACAAAAUUGUUUCGCCACGUCAAUUGACAAAUACUACAAAAAUUGAUUUUUUUUUUUACGCCGACAGACCGUAAUAACAUCUCAAACACGCAAUUAUCUACAAUUUUAUAAUAGGGGAAUCAAAUUGUUAGGCUAAGACAUAAAUACAAUGCCGUUUAAAAUUUAAAUCAAAAUUAAAUAUAAGUUGAGCUUAAAAGUCUUGUGACAAAAAAAUUUUAGGAAAAAUUACAGUUAAGGUAUCAAACCUUUUGUUUAUCAAUAGACUUGAUCCAAAACCUUCGUCAUGCCAUCAAAAGUGCCAAAACUUUAAAAAACUCGCAUCUGAAGUCCAAAAUGACAGUUACCGUCUAUUUGAACACAAUCAAUUGACCCCAGAAAUGAAAAAUCUAACAAUUUUCCCCAAAUAAGACAAAGAUAAUUGGUAUUACCCAUUUUUCCUUCAAAAGAAAAAGAAAAAGAAAAACACUCUUCUCCACUCACACCCUAUCUACCCCAAAACUAAAAACCCACCAAAAUCAUCUUCUCCACUUCAGUUCAGAAGCCGAAAUCAUGUCUCAUUGAAAAGAGGAACAAGAAAACUCUGCGAUCGAGCAAGUAUUCCUCACAGUACUCGUCAUCGAUGACCGAACCCUACUCAUUGACUUGUUGUCACCUUUCAGAUGUGGACCCUAGGUGGCCGUGGCUUGUACUCUUCUCUCGUUCCUCAACUAGUUCUUCUGGUAUUGUUACGAGUCGCUCUAGAUCAUCGCAAUCUCUACCUAGGUUUGCAGUGAUACCCCUAGGUUACAUCAUGGCGGCGAUGAUUAUGCGAAGAGUGUUCUUCAAGGGGGCGGAAUUGGGAAUUUAGUUUGAAUCCAUGCUCUUUCAAUAUAAAGGAGCACGUGUUGUCCUUAUUGAUCACCAUUUUUGCGAAUUCAGGGAGCGGGUUACCCUUACAUAGGGGAGGACCGAGACAAUUCGAACUGUGGGGUCAAAAAAGAAAUUUUUUUCGAACAAUGUAUCAUGAACAAAAAGGAGAAAUCGGUUGUUUGCUGUUCAUGUUCGAUGUUUGCACUUUGGGAAGAAAUCGGUGAAUUAUAUGAUAUAUCUAUGGACUAAAUAAUGGAUAUGGACGAUGUGAUAUGAAUAUGGAUUUAGGAUUUGAACUUUUUGGGGCAGAAAAUUAAGUUUUAAGCAAAAAUAAAAUAAAUAUAUAAAAAAUAAAAUAAAUUUCCAAAGAACUGUGAGGUCAUUUGACCCCAUGUAGGUCCGCCCCUGUCCUUACAUUAUUCAUAUAGUUCUUUGGGUGGUGGUGUUGGUGGCAUGAAGUGACAUUUUGGUGGUUUUAGGCAUUUUGGUGGCUGUAGGCAUUUUGUUUUCGUACGCAAUGACGAUAGGUAAUGGUAGUGGUAGCUGGUGACGGUGUUUUGAUUUUGGAGUGGGUGAAGAAGAUGCAGAGUGUUUUUUUUUUUUUUUUAAAGAAAAAUGUAUAAUUACCCUUUUGGCCUUUAAAAUUUGGUCAACAUUUGGCCAAAUUUUUUUAUUGUUGGUCAACUAACAGAGAAACUAACGGUUUCUAUUAAUUUGGACUCCAAAUGCGAGUCUUUUUAACGGUUUGGUACCUUCGGUAGCACAAAUGAAAGGUUUGGAUCAAGUCUGUUAAUAAACAAAAUGUUUAGUACCUUGAUUGCAAUUAAAUUUACAUGACUAACAAACAUUUCUCAUUACAAGAAAACAAAAGAAUAAUUAUGCACAUGUAUGCAUGUGCACAAAGACAAAAUCAAUGUCUUCAACUCCAAUUAAAGCUUACAGGCCUUUUUUUUUUUUUUUUUUUUUUUUUGUGGAAGUUUUCGAAGUGAAUUUUGUAAUUAAGUUUUUGUCACCUAAUUAAGUUUUCGUAUUAGUUGUGAGUUUAAGAAAUGUAUUGAUAAAAAGGUAUAUUUGACUACCUAACAAACAUUUGUUAUUGAUGUGAACUUGUACCAAGUUUACAAUGAAACAUAAUUUCUACAUUACAAGACUAUUUCAGAAAAUUAGUAAUCUGAGAUACAAGUAAAUAAAUAAAACAAUCGUAUGACUAUACCUUGUUCAUUCAUAAGUUGGGAAGAGUCGAUAAUUCAAUUGGGAUCGUAGGGGGCAGUGUUUGAGGUACUGUUGAUAUUCUCUGUUUAUGGGAUGUAAUUGAGCAGACCUGUUGAUAUUCUCUGUUUAUGGGAUGUAAUUGAGCAGGCAAUCACUCAACUUUGGAGUGAUUAUUCUGCAGAAAUCUGUCUUCGGAGUUAUUUCUUGUUGGCUUAGCUUGAUUUUUCAACUUUAGUUGCAGCCACUGCUUCCCUACAUUGAAUAUGACUACCCUCAAUCAAUACCUUUAUGGUAAUUCCCAAAUAUUCAUGUUUUUCCUUGAGGUUCUAAUGUUUCUUUUAUGGAUAAAGAAACACCAGAUGGUUGACAGAAGUCACCAAAAAUCGCCACAAGAGCAUAUACCGUCUUUAAAAUGAUGAUAGCGAUUGACAUCCCUUAUAGUGAUUUCCCUUUGUGUAAUUUUGGAAAUAAACUUGAUGGCAACAUGGCAGUCCUCACAAACACGAAGGUUUUUCGUUAUCAGAAGCUUAGCUCCAGCAGGUGUAUUAAUGAGUCCAAAUGCAAUAGCUAGCCUUUCACUGUGGCUGUACACCAUUUUGGUCUUCUCAUCAUCCUCCACGUCAAAGAAAACUGGUGAAAUAUUUGGAACGUAUCCAGCUUUUGCCAUUAGUCCUCCCAAUUCUUCCAAUUCUGCAUAUAUCUCAUCAGACAUAGGAUGAGUUACAUCUCCAGAUACAAAUGCAUGCAUCUUAUUUUUAACCUCAAUCCAGCUACAAGCAAUGCUUUUCUUAAGUUUCCUCUCUGACAAUAGCUUUCUUAGCUUCGUAACUCCUUCCCACUUUCCCGUUUGAGCAUAGAGAUUUGAUAAAAGCACGUAAUGGCCAGCCUCAUCCGGUUCAAGCUCAAUCAGUCUCUCUAAUGCCAGUUCCCCCAACUCCACAUUUCCAUGGAUCUUNCAUGAAUUAAGAAAAGCACCCCAAACACCAGAAUCUGGUGUCACCUUCAUCUCCAUUAUCAAUCCAUAAGCAUCGUUCAAACGAUUACAAUGGCUAAGGAGAUCAACCAUGCAGGUAUAAUGCUGAAUGGUAGGUUCUAUACCAUAAUCUCUUAUCAUCAUGUCAAAAUACAUCUUCCCUUCAUUUAACAGUCCUCCUCGGUUACAAGCCGAUAGAACCCCAACGAAGGUAAUAUGAUCAGGCUGAGCUUCAGCCCGCAUCCAAUUAAACAAAGAGAAGGCUUCAUAUGCAUGACCAUGCAUUGCAUAUCCAGUUAUCAUUGCAUUCCAAGAAACAAGCCUCUUCUCUUUUAGUCCCUCGAAUAAUAUCCUCGCGAUCCCUACAUUCCCACUCUUUGCAUACAUAUCCACAAGGGCAGUCUUCACCCUGUCAUUGGAUUCAAACCCAUGUCUGUAACUAUAACAGUGUAGUUCUCUCCCUUGUACAGUUGCCACUGCAUCAGCACAAGCCGAUGUAGCCGUCACUAGUGUUGCUUCGGUAGGCCUAAACCCUGCUAACGCCAUCUCACCACAGAGUCUCAAACACUCAUCUGGAUGCCCAUUUUGGGAGUAAGCAGCAAGCAUUGAAUUCCACAACACAACGUCCCUAUUGGCAAUCUUGUCAAACACUUGUCGAGAUUCAUUUAUACAACAACAUUUUGCAUACAUAUCAAUAAGUCCAGCACCCACAAAAGAAUCCAUUUCCCACCCAGUUUUCUUCACAUGCUUAUGAAUAUUCCUUCCCACUUCAACAUCGGAUAGGCCCGAACACGCUUUCAGCACAAAAGGAAAGGUGAAAUUAUCCGGAACAAGCCCGUGAUCAAUCAGCUGGUAAUACAAAGAGAUCGCAACUUCAUAUGGUCCAUUCCAUGCAUACCCUCGAAUCAAAACAUUCCAAAGAAACAAAUUUGAUUUCGGCAUUUUUUCGAACAAAUGGUGAGCAUUUGAUAAGGAGUUGCAAACACAGUAGACAUUAACGAGUUUAGUGGCCAAAUGGGUGUUGUGAAAUAGCAUGCCAUUGACACAGAGUUGCGCAUGGAGUUGCUUUCCGGGUUCUAUAGCUUUUUCAGUAAUACAAAAUUGAAGUACAGAGGCAUAUUGGUGGGGAUUUACGUAUCUUCUUGUUUUAGAGAGCAGCAUUUGAAGAGUAAUCAUGCAGCUCUCCUCGCAAAGUUCACAUACAACUUAUUGAUCUCAUAGAAUUGAUCUCUUGCCAAGAUAAAAACUUUCCAUCUAAUACGGCAUGAGAACCUUAAUUAUGGUUCUCCAAAAACAUAUAGCUCCUAGCUAUUCAAAGUUUUUAGUCCCCAAAUAUGAGGUUUACGAAGGGUUGGUCUAAACUACAUCACAAAUGGGAGGCACUGAGGCUGAUACCCCGUCCAUUGAAGAAAAGAGAUCAAAACUGCUCAAUUAUAAUGUAACUCUUAACUUCAAUUUUCCAUGCAGCGUAAUCACCAAUCCAUUUAUUUUGGCGUAUGCAAAGG